UACGGAGGAUGCAAGCGUUAUCCGGAAUCAUUGGGCGUAAAGCGUCCGCAGGUGGAGUGGUAAGUCUGUUGUCAAAGAACGGGGCUUAACCCCGUAAAGGCGAUGGAAACUGCCACACUAGAGGCUGGUAGGGGUAGAGGGAAUUCCCAGUGUAGCGGUGAAAUGCGUAGAGAUUGGGAAGAACACCAGUGGCGAAAGCGCUCUACUGGACCAGAACUGACACUCAGGGACGAAAGCUAGGGGAGCGAAAGGG
rnacentral:rRNA from 1 species